rnacentral:rRNA from 1 species
GAGUUUGAUCGUGGCUCAGAUUGAACGCUGGCGGCAUGCCUUACACAUGCAAGUCGAACGGCAGCACGGGAGCUUGCUCCUGGUGGCGAGUGGCGAACGGGUGAGUAAUGCAUCGGAACGUAUCCUGGAGUGGGGGAUAACGUAGCGAAAGUUACGCUAAUACCGCAUAUUCUGUGAGCAGGAAAGCGGGGGACCUUCGGGCCUCGCGCUCUUGGAGCGGCCGAUGUCGGAUUAGCUAGUUGGUGAGGUAAAGGCUCACCAAGGCGACGAUCCGUAGCAGGUCUGAGAGGAUGAUCUGCCACACUGGAACUGAGACACGGUCCAGACUCCUACGGGAGGCAGCAGUGGGAAUUUUGGACAAUGGGGCAACCCUGAUCCAGCCAUGCCGCGUGAGUGAAGAAGGCCUGGUUGUAAGACGUCUUCGUCGAGG